AUGUUUUCAUUUAAUUUUAAAGAUAAUAAAGAUUUUUAACAGAUACAUCAUUUUAAAUUUUUAAAAUUUAAUAUGAGCUUCUUAAUUAGCUGUCAUUUGUAAAUAUACUUAAAUUGAUUUAUUUUUCUGUAGUACUAAAAUUUAUAUUAGUCAAGUUGCAAUUCAAUUCAUUUAUAUUGCUACUUUUAUAUUCACUCAUUUGGUUUUUGCUACAGAGAAACUAACAAUUAGUAAAUUAUAAUUCUUAUUGCAUAACACUACAGAAUCUACUUAUGUAGAACUUAAUGUAAAAAAAAUUGCUAGUAAUUUAUGGAAAAUAGUUUCACUAGGUAUCUUAGAUAUGCAUUAUUAAAACAAUUAGGUUAUUAAUAUAUCCUUUCCAUAUAAGAGAAAUCUUGAGUGUAUAUCUAAUAUAUCAAUAUAUUCUCUUCUCACUAUCAGUUUUCUAGCUAGUUGCCUAAUACGUUCAAUUAUUAUUUUGAAAUUUAAUUUUAAGCAUAAAUUUAUUUUGUUUUAUGGCAAAAUCAAACAACAUUAAAAAUCAACAUAAUAAACUUUAGCUGUUUUUGCUUGACAUUAUUAGAACCUGUGUUAGAAGCAUAAUGUCCUCAAAUUUCAAAACAAACAUCACACAAAUUCUUAUUUAACUGAAAUUUUAUGUGCUAUUUAUACAUUCAAUAUAUGCCUUUUGGUGAGAGCAAAUGAAGAAACUUUUUGAAAGUAGCAUCCUUAUCGUGUAGUUUUGUUCCUCUGCAACUUACUUUUGACUCUAUGUAAAUUUUGUUGCAUCAGACAGAGAAAAAAGCUAAUGAAAAAGAGAUGCAUAAAAUUUGAUUUUCUAUAAACCUUUUUAACUUUACAAAUUAUAAAUCCUAUUCUGGGGAAUCUUUCAGUACAAAUAACCUUAAGGGCAGAUAAAUUGACUGUAGUUAAAGGCACUCUCUGUAAAACUCAUCAGUUACAGCCUUUCCCUCAAAGUCUUGUGAGGCUUGUCUUUUCCUUCAGUGAAAAUUUUGCCUGCUCAUCUGUUUUAUCAGUCUGAAGUACUAACCUCAUGCCAAAAUUGUUAUUGCUGUGUAAACUAAUGAGUUCAAGUUAUUGUACAAAGUUCUCAAAACUUUAUAAUUGGACACAUUGUGGAAAAUAAUCACAAAAUAUGUUUUAGAAUGCUUGCUUUUCACACAAAACCUGAAAGUUGUUUAAUAUAUUUCUGAAAAUAACUAGAUCUUAUAUUAAGCUUUAUUUAUUAUGCUAUUGUUUAUUUUUUGUCAGUGGAUCAGAAUAGCUGUGUGUUAGUAACACUGGAGGAAUUAUGAAUCAACUCUUAGUAUACCUGUACCACAGAUACAUAGAGUAAUAGAUAAAAUAUCACCUAUUGGCCUUUUUUUUUUUUUUUGAGAUGGAGUUUUGCUCUGUCACCCAGGUGCUGGAGUGCACUGGUGUGAUCUUGGCUCGCUGCAGCCUCUGCCUUCCAUGUUCAAGCAAUUCUCCUGCCUCAGCCUCCCAAGUAGCUGGGAUUACAGGCACGUGGCGCCACACCCAGCUAAUUUUUGUUCUUUUAGAAGAUACGGGGUUUCACCAUGUUGGCCAGGAUGGUCUUGAUCUCCUGACCUUGUGAUCUGCCCACCUCGUCCUCCCAAAGUACUGGGAUUACAGGCGUGAGCCACCGCUCCUGGCCUAGCCUUCAUAUUUUAAGAAUAUUAAAAAGGAAAUAAGACAUAUCAUAUGCAUUAUCAUAAUUAUAUAUUAACAUAUUAGAUAAAUUUGAUAUGAUUCUAAUUUCUGAAGCCCAUCAAGAUAUUCUCAGGGUACUAACUGAUCAAUCUUAAACAUUUACAAAAUGAUAGUAAACUCAUGAGUAUUGACAUAUUCUCAGACCAACUCAAGAGCUACCCAUAACUUCAGAAUCCACUGACUUCCAUAUUCAAGAUGACUCCAUUGAUUUUCCUAUUCAAGAUCAUAAAAUAAGUACUCACUGAGCUUCAGAUUGAAAGUAUUUGCACUGUCUUGUUUAUCACAACAAAGAUAUUUAUUCUAAAAAAAUUAAGUGUAAAAAAAAGCUGUCUCUCCUCCUUGGCCAUGAAAUGUACUCUUAUGUUUGAAAUAGGACAACAGCAAUUAUCUUCAUAAAUUUAGUCAGGGGUGCCAAUUCAUGACAAAUCAGUGAUCACCAGCUCUCUCUCAAUUUUCUCUCUGGAAUUUUUAAUCAGGGAUUAGAACUUCACGCUCUGUGUUUGGUGUCUCUUUUCAUGUCUUUUGUUUAUUCUACCUCUUUAUUUCCUUGUGGUCCAUUUUAUUCAGCUUCUUAAUAUCUACUUUCAAUUCACCGAUUCUCAAUUCAGUGUGCUAUUAAAUAUAGAAUUUUUAAUAUCUGCUAUGUUUUCCUUUUACAGAUAUCCUAAUUAAUUUUUUACAGAUGAUACUUAAUAUACAAAUAUAUAUUUAUUUAGCCAUUUCUCAGAAUUGCUGCUUAAUUUACUGUAUUCUCUUAAUUCUGAGUAAUUGGAAAUUAUUUUUAUGUUUAGCCUUUAUUUUUCAAGAUAUUGAAUGCACUAUCUUCUACAUCUGAGAAUUUAACAUAAAAUAUUUGUAGAGCUGUAAUUAAUAAUAUUUCUGAUGGUUCUUGCUCAUAUGCCUCAUUUUCUUGUGCUGCUUUUAUUUUAGUCCUAUGAGCUUCUCAUUUUCCUUAGAAAAUUAUUUGAAGAAAUUAUUUUAAGUUAUCAUGAUGUUUAUUUUGAUGUUUCUCCAGAAUAAAUUGUACUUGCUUCUCCAAAAACUUGAGGACUCUACCAAUCUUUGCCGACAUUAAACAAAAUUCAGUAAGGGAGAGGCAGGAGCCAUGAAGAAUGGGGCCAGACAAGGAAGGUCCUCCUGCAGAUGCCCCGAUCGCAGGCAUAGCACCAGUGCCAAGGGUUUAUUCAUUGGGUGGCCACCAGUCACCCAGUAGUGAACCUAGGCAUUGAGCUGGGAAACCUUCUUGCCUCCAACUUCUUUGCACAGGAAUGAAGAACAACCUAAGUUUCUAUUCCAGCAGAGUGGGUGCUUCAGAUGCCUGGAGGUCUGCCUGGUUGUGGAGCAGAAAUGGUCCCCUUGCACAAAGAUCUCUGCACAGGAAGAGUGAGACAGGUCAGGCUGCUGAUACCAUUAGGCAGGUAUUCCAAAAGCCUGGAGAUCUUCUGGGCGUGAAGCAGAGAGAGUCCUACUACACCAAGAUCUAUGUCCAGGAAUGUUGGGGCAACUCAGGCUGCUGUACCAGCAAAUGAGUGCUUAAAAUGCCUGGACAUCUACCUGGGCAUGGAGCAGAGAGAGCCUCACUGCACCAUCAUAUAUGUCCAGAAAAAGCAGGGCAGCUCAAGCUGUUGGUUCAGGCAAGCAGGUGCCCCAAACGCCUGGAUUUCUAACUGGGGGUUGAGCAGAGAGGGCCCACCUGAUCUCAGGGGAGCAGAGUGCAAUGCCCAGAAAUGGCACCAACGAGUCAGUUCCAGGUCGCCAAGCUAAAUCCGACGUCAAGUCUUGCCUCCCAUAGAAAACUACAGCUGUAGCAACUCUCCUCCCAGGCUUAUGACAGAGGAGAGCACAAUUCCAGCACAUACUGCUGAGGUAAUUUCCACAGUUUUAGCUGUGGAAACCCCUACCCUACACCAGAGCAUACACUUCAAUCCCUGGCCUGAGAGUAAAAUGGCUGCACAGCCACACUGCCAGGUCUCCACAAAUGAUUGACUUUGUAUGUACUUGGACUAAAAAUGGCACCUUGCUUUCACUCCUGGGUCUGAGAAAAUGUCUGCAGUUUUUCCUGGUCUCUUUUCAUCAUAGCACCUUCAAGUCUCUCUCCAAAUUAACUCCAGGGUUUAAGAGAAUCAAAGUGCUCUCCGUCAGCCUGGGUUGCUAUGAUCCCAAGUCAAAAGUUGAAUCACGAGGGAAGCUCUCUGCCUUUCUCUCUCAUACUGGGGCUCCACUCACUUUCAUCAGCUGGAUGCCAUCACAGGGUUGUUUGCCGGUGUUCUCUCUGAGAUACGGGGUGUUGUUCACAAUUCUGGUGGAUUCCCAUUUUCCUUCUUGAAUUAAAGCUCACACUGUUGAUAUUUAUGUAGUAUCUUUCUAUUUCUGAGUGGCUGAGGCACUCUGAAAACCUUUAAUCCUCCAUCUUGGAAAAAAAAAGGUUUAGUAUUUUUAAAGUUGUAUCUGUUGAAAUAGACAUUUUAAUUUUGAUAAAGUUCAAUAUAUUUAUUUAUUUUUCUCUUGUUCAUCUUUUUCUGUCAUAUCUAAAAACUAUUUCCCAAUCUUAGAUCAUGAAGAGUCAACCAUAUGUUUUUUUCUAAGAAUGUUACACUUUAUACUUUUUUUUUUUUUUUUUUUGACACGGACUCUCACUCUGUCACCCGGGCUGGAGUGCAGUGGUGUGAUCUCGGCUCACUGCAACCUCCGCCUCCCGGGUUCAAGCGAUUCUCCUGCCUCAGUCUCCCAAGUAGCUGGGAUUACAGGCCCGCCACCACGCCUGGUUAAUUUUUGUAUUUUUAGUAGAGACGGUGUUUCACCAUGUUGGCCAGGCUGGUCUCGAACUACUAGUCUCAAGUGAUCCUCCCACCUCAGCCUCCCAAAGUGCUGGGAUUACAGGCGUGAGCCACCAUGCCUGGCAACUUUUUACUCUUAUAUUUAGGUCUUUAAUCCAUUUUGAGGUUUUAUUGGUACAUACAUGAUUUGAAGAAAGUGUUAACAGUGGAAGAGAUCCCAGUUACCAUGAGUUGACAGUGGUGUAUGUGUGCAGGUUUGCAGCAACUUCAGUCCUUGCCUCCUCAGAAGAAAGAAUUAGACUGAGAGGAAUAAACUAGAAAAAGACACCAAUGCAAGUUUCAGAGCAGGAGUGGAAGUUCAUUCAAAAAGGCUUUAGAACAGGAAAGAAAGGAAAAUUCACUUGAAAGAGAUCCAAGAGGGCACCUGAAGGUCAAAGAGAAGAGAGCCUUUAACCUUGAUGCUAGGGCUUUAUAGGCUCACCUCUUUCCCAUUAUUCUUCCCUUAGGGUGGGCCCCCCAUUCGCAGUGCCCCCUUAUCCUUAGGAAUUGAGCACAUGCAGUGUGUUUAGGAAGUUGUACUCACACCCAUCUGAGACUUUCUUCCUUUUCUGGUGGAGUGCACCCUGAAGGUCAUACUUUGCCAUUUUGUCUCUUAGCGUGCAUGCCCAGGAAGUUUUUUCUCCCUGGCAUCUGGAUUCAAUUAACACUUUAAUGUUAAUAGCUGUGGAUCAUCAGGAAAUGGCCCCUCCAUGGCAUCCUGGGUAGGCUGCCAAAUUAUCAUUUUUAGAGAAGCAGUGUGAUAACUGUCAAACCAUCACCUGAUAAUUCUAGUGAGCAGGGGAGACCCCUCUCCUGGCCCGCUCAUGCCCAUCUUACUAUUUGUUAACAGAAAGGAUCCCACUUAUUUACUUUGCAGGUGGUUAUCCAGUUGCCUCGGAUCUAUCUGUGAAAAAGAUUAUUCUUUUCCCAAUUUAUGGUGUUCAGGAUGAAGAAGGAAGUCCCCAACUUCAACUGAAGUUCCCUGGACUUAUCCCAACCCACAAGCAGCUAGAAACUAUGCUAUUUCUGGAGCUGUUAGUCAUGACUAGCUCUGCAUUAAAAUUUGACUGAAGCUGCAUGUAUGUAUUAAAUCAGUGAGUACCUUGAACUUUAUGUUAUUUAAGAAGAUUGGGAAAUAUGAUAUUUCAGGGAAUAAUGUUAAUAUAUAAUUGACACACACAUUCCAAAUAAUAUGAAGGAUAUAGUUUUCUAUAGAAAUUUAUACCAGUAACUUUGAAUUUUCAGAGAGAGUGUCUAGUAUGGAUUUUAUGAUGCUUAAGCAUUAUUAAUAGCAAUAUUUUUAUAUUAAAAUGAUAGUAAUUUUCAGUUGAUCAGAAAUUAAAAUCUAGUUAAUUCUAUUAUUGAAUGUGUUUGUAUUUGUCUAUGUGUAAUAGCAUGUGUGUACAGUACAUGCAUGCACAUAUACACACAUUAACACAUACACUAUAUAUAUUUACACACAGAUGUAUGUGGUGUACAUAUAAGAGGGGACUUCAAAAAUUUCAUAGAAAAAUUGAAUUAAAAGAUAAAAAUAGAAAAAAUCUCUCAACAUAAAGAAACAUCUGAUUAAAAAACUUAAUGUUAAGAAAACAUUCAUGAAGAAAAGGAAUUAAAAGAUAAAAAUUCAAAAAACAUUUCUCAACAUAAAGCUCCGUCAAGUUCAAAACACUUUUGUAGCAAUGAAACCAGCCAUUUAGUCUAUCACUAAAGAACUGAGUUUCCUAGAAAUUUAACCAUGUAAAUGCAAUCUUUUUUACAUUAUCAACUGAAGAACAAGGGCUUCCUUUAUGAAUUUUUAAGAUUAGGAAACAGAAAGAAUUCAGAAAUAGCCAAAUCAUGAUUGCAAGGUAGGUACGUAAUGAUAUCCCAUCAAAAUUCUUUCAAAAUGGCCGUUGUUUGAUGAAAGAAAUGAGCAGGAGAAUUGACAUGGUGGAGAAGGACUCUCUAGUGAAUGUUUCUCAGCCAUUUUUCUGCUAAAGUUUUGGUUAACUUUCUUGAAGCACUCUCAUAAUAAGCAUGUUAUGAUUGUUUGGCACUCCAGAAAGACCCAAUGCAUUUAGCAUCCCCAUAAAACUGUUGUUGCCAGGAUCAUUGCUCUUGACCAGUCCACUUAUACUUUGACUGGACCACUUCCACCACUUGGUAGCCAUUGCUUUGAUUGUGCUUUGUCUUUAGGAUUGUACUGGUAAAGCUGUGUUACAUCUCUCAAUAUAAUUCUUUGAAGAAAUACUUCAGGAUCUUGAUCCCACUUGUUUAAAAUUUCAUUGAAAUUCUGCUUUUGUCCUCAGCUGAUCUGGGUGCAAUGGUCUGACACUCAUUGAAUGGAAAGUUUGCUUAACUUUAAAUUUCACUCAGAAUUAUGUAAGCUGAACAAAUUGAAAUGCCUAUGGUGUUGACUAUUGCUUCUGGUGUUAUCAGUUCUUUUCAAUUAGGGCAUGAACAAGAUGAACUUUUCCUCACAAAUUGAUGUGGAUGAUCUGUCGCUGCAGGCUUCAUCUUCAACAUUGUCUUGUCCCUUCUUAGAAUGGAUUAUUCAUUUGUAUACUGCUAAUUUGGGAUAGAGGAGCAUUUUCCCCGUAAAGCAUUUCAUAAAGUAUCAAUGAUUUUACCAUUUCUUCCACCCAACUACACCAUAAUUUGAUAUUUGUUCUUGGUCAAUUUUAGCAGAAUUCAUGUUGCUCUGACAAGGGCUUUUGUCAAACUGAUGUCUUACCCAUCUUAGUGACUCAGACUAGAUCUUGUUUAUACAUGUUUUAACAAGGUGUAUGACUUUAUUUUGGUGCAAAAUCUUUUUGAAAUCCAUGAAUAGUUUUUGUAUAAUAUGCAUUUUUAUGAUAUCUUUGAAAACCCUCGUGUGUGUGUGUUUGUGUCUAUGGCAUGCCCUAUAUAUGUGGAAGGAUAAAUCUGUAAAUGCAUGCACUAAUAUGGACUACAGAUGUGAACUAUAUCUCCAUGUACAUAUGUAUCUCUAUAUACAUGUGCAUUUAUGGAUGAAAUAUUUAUUGCCUACUGUGUGUUAAGUGACUGUGCUCUUAGCUAUGCAAAUGAUUUCAACUGAUGUUUUUUCCCUAUCCCAUCUAUUUACUAUCCUCUAACUUGUUCCAAAAAAUAGGAUACAGGAUAAAUAACUGAAAUUGUUUUUUGAAUGAGAUUGCAGUCGAUAUAUGAUUUAGAGGACCAAGCAGGCAAAGAAUUUGUAUAUUCAAUCAAUGCCUCUUAGUUGGUGAUAGUUGUUUUUUUUUUUUUUAUUUUUUUUUAUUUUUUUUUUUUUUGAGACAGAGUCUCGCUCUGUCGCCCAGGCUGGAGUGCAGUGGCGCGAUCUCGGCUCACUGCAAGCUCCGCCUCCUGGGUUCACGCCAUUCUCCUGCCUCAGCCUCCCGAGUAGCUGGGACUACAGGCGCCCGCCACCACGCCCCGCUAAUUUUUUUUUUUGUAUUUUUAGUAGAGACGGGGUUUCACCGUGUUAGCCAGGAAGGUCUCGAUCUCCUGACCUCGUGAUCCGCCCGCCUCGGCCUCCCAAAGUGCUGGGAUUACAGGCGUGAGCCACCGCGCCCGGCCGGUGAUAGUUGUUUUUUAGAAUUUUUUCCCCUUAUCACAAGACUGAAAUGAAAAUUGAUGCAAUCACAUGAUGGAAUAUUUGUUCAAUCUGACAGAUUAAUGGUCUAGGAAGAAAAAAUUAAUUUUGAUUUCACCAAAGAAAAACAGUUUGUUGAAAAUCAAUCAGUUCUCAUACAUAGCUAAGAAAAUAUUCACUGCUUUUCAAGCCAUCAAAUGCUUUUAAUAAAUAUCUAAAACAAGGUGGUUAAAAUGUCAACUAGCACUUUUAUUAAGUAUUUUUCUGGAUUUAAAAAGAGAAAUGUCAUAGCAUAUCCUAUCUUCUAGAUUUGUAUUCUCUUGGUCAAGAGCAAGCAUGAGCAAGCCUCUGAAGAGCUGCAUCUCUAACUGCAAGCAUCCCCACGUACUUAUAUAUAUAUGAGCAGGCACUGGCCCUCUCUUUUCUGACAUUCCCUGAAGUGUUCAAUAUUAACAAGCUGUUCAUUGAACUAGGAACAAAUUGGUUGGAAUCAUAUUUGCUAUGUUUUAUUAAAGCAUAGGCAAAAUUACAAUUUCAAAACUACAAGGGAUCUGAUUCCAAAUGUUAUUUUUGUAUAUGAUGAAUUUUAAAAAGUGUUAAAGGGUGAUCCAAAGUUGCCUAUCUAUUCAUUAGCAUGUCUUGCUUUAUGAAAUCCAGAGGUUUUUUCUAUUAUGAUAUAUGUUGCAUACUGAAUCUUAGGGUGCACAUACCUGGCCUAGACAUAAAGAUCUGCUGUUACGUUAUUUUCAAGUUGAGGUAGAGUUAAUGUAAAGUAAUAUGCAACAAUGUUCUUUUCAAUGAGAUUUACAAUUAUACCCACCAUCUUUGUACCUGCAGCAAAUAGAAAUGCUAUUGUCAAGGUAGUCUGUAUGAAAUGCUGAAUUUGGCAAAUUCCUCAAAAUACUUAUAAAAUGUGUUAUAAUAAAUAAUAUUUAUAUUUUUUUCUGGUAGUAAUAACUAAUUAAUGCUAAAUAUAUUUUUGAACUUCUACUAUGUGCCAGAAAAACAUUGGAAAAACAAAUCUGAAUGAACAGGCUAUUUUCUCAAACCUAUAAGUAAAGGUUGGAGAUAAAUCCACAUUUACAUUUUUUUUUUUAACUUGCUACGAAAACACUUAAAAGAACAACCUGAGGCAUUUUGGCUAACCAGAGAAGCUGAUGCUUCUAUCCAGUAUUGAAGAGUAGAUCACAUUUUGUUUGAUAAAGAUCUUAAAAGUCUCAUGUUUCUACAGGCUUCUAUGAAUUUUCUUCUCUUAAUUGGUUUAAGUGAUUAAUCAGUGAUUACUAGAUGGAUCAUUGAUUGGUGUGACCAAGAUUUAGGCAGAGGGUGUUAAAAGAGUGACUAGUAUGGAGGGUAAAAAUUUUAACAAGUCUAAAUCAUGAAGCACCUUGAAUACCAUUCUGAUUUGUUUGAUUUUCUAUUAGCUAUGUCAGGUCACCAAAAGAUAUUUUUAUGAAAAUAACAUGGUCCUUUUGAUUAUUUCAGAAGACCAUUUUGAAAAUAACAUAGAAACCCCAUUGAUAGGAGAUUAGAUUGAAUUUAGAAAGAAAGACCAUUGUGAAGUGUCUGAGAAAAAGAACUGUUGCUUAGAAUGUAGUCAUUAGCAACAAUUUACAAACAUUACUAAAAUAAUUGAUAUACAUAAGAAUAAGAAAUAUAACUGCAGAAAAUAUGGGAUCUCAGGCAAAAGAAGUAAAAUAGCUAUCCUAUGCUCAAAGAAAGAGAAUAUUUAUCUCUUCUCACAAAUGUUAAUUCACACUGAUUCACUCUCCUGGAAAUGAAGAAGAAUGGAUAGAAAAAGUACCGAUAAAUUGGCUGUAUUUUGUUUUACACACACACCAUAUUAUACACCUCUGUAGUUGCUUUCCUGUCAUCUCUCCUAAGGGGGUGAAUUCUUUAGUAAGAAUGUCUUCUUACUAAAAUUGGCCAUAAGUGUUUGUAAAAAAUAUAUUUUUGAUCCAGAAUAAAUUGAUUUCAGCAUCCAGUGGUAUCCUACACAUUAUAUAUACUUAAUAAAAUAUUUCAGUAACAGGUAUCACAUGACAAACAAAUAAAUGGUUACUACAAAGAUGUAUUCUGUGAGCUUUGUAUUUAUUCAUCCAGGUUUUCACUGUCUUCUAGUUUCAGUUAUCUCUUCAUAUUGCACUUGAUCUUAAAUCAGGAAGAGUGUUUUAUAUUUAAUAUUCUGAAAUAUCUGGUAAUAAUUAUAAGGCUCAUCUAAUUCACCUCACUUUUAGAGACAAAAAUGCUGGAAACAAUCUGUUUAAAUCUUUGAAAAAUAUCUCCAAUAAAUUAAUUUAAUUUUAAGAAUAAUUUUAAAUCUCACAAUCAUGAGAUUAGCGUUAUAAUGAUUUUGUCUUAUUUAUGACAUUAAUGUAUUUUAUUUGCAACAAUACUACAUGUGUAAAAGUUGAGCUGCCCAAUGCAGAUUAAUAAAUCAAAACUAAAAUAUAAUUGACUUUGCAUCCCCUAGUACAAACAGCACAGAACAGUUUCUGAUAGGUCUCCUCUGAUUGUGAAGACAGCACAUUCUACAGGAGAAAUACUCCUUUAGCUCCUACAUCAGCUGUCACAGAAGGCUAACAGCUUUGAAUGAAGCUCAGAGGAGGAAACUGCCCUAGGGCAGACUUGCUACUUGAGUCAUAUACACUGGCUGGCCCUAUUAUUUAGAACAUAUCAGCGGUGGAAAAAGUGGGAGGUUUCUGUCAAGCUUCACUGGACAAAUCACAAUACAGUCCCCUGAGAUUCUAGACGAAGACCACGCUGUCUACAGUAGAGAAUUAUGUGUGUUUAAUAAGCAGCAUUAGCUGUGCUACACGGAGCUGGUAUGGUUUAUUAUCAACAGGCAGAAGAGCCUGCCAGUGGAAUGAACUACAGGAGAAGUACUGAAGGUAAUUUCAAAGUAAUAGGCAGGGACAAUGAGUAACCUAGUUCACAAACACUAUUUUACUGUCUUCCCUUCUAUAGCAUUCCUAAUAUUGUUAAUAGUACUCACAGAAAGAAAACACUGAGACAGAGCUACACUGAAGCCAGGCAGAAAGGGUAAAGCUGCAUACAGUGGUAAAAGUGGUUGACAUCUCCAAAAGAUUUUUCAGUAAGAAGAAUAGAGGAUUAAACUCAUUCCAAAUUAUAUAUUUAAUCACAGAUUAAGUAUAAUAACAAAAUAAAAGAAAAUACAUAAAGAAAUAUAAUAUAUGUAAUUUCAAAAAAACUUAGUUCAUCAUAGUAACUUGCUGAUUUUCACAUUUAAUCUGAUUAUCAAUGCUUUGGAAAAAUUUAAUGUAUCAUGGGGAAUGACAAAGAGGUGCUUUUGAUUAUUUUAUUUAUUGCUCCAUAGAAAUUUAAUCUAUAUCAAAUAAAUUACCCAUUAUUAUGUAUUGAGAUGAUUAUUGGUCUUUAAUAUUAAUAAUACAUUUAUCAUAUACCUAGCACAUAUUUUCUGUAGCAGUGCAAUGAACUGAAAUUAAGUAGCUCUAAUAAGCCUUCAACAAUAUAGCAACAUUCCUAGAAUCCUACUAACUUCAACUCAUGAAUGGGUAGUAAAUUUUAUCAAAUUUCUUAUUGAAAGAUUACAUGGCAAUGUGAUUCAUUAUACUGUCUUAUUUUCCAGUGUACUACAACUUUUAAACAUGGGAGAAAAAAUGAAACCACUCAGGGAUUGUAAAAGAUUUUGAUGUUUAAAUAUUUUUAAUUUUUUUUGGUAAUGUCUGGGUAAGGGUGAUACUGGCUUUAUAAAAGACUUGGAAGAUUUCCUUUUUUUCAUUUCUCUUGAAAUAUUUGCAUAAAGUUGGUGUUACUUUCUCUUUAAAUGCUGGAAAUAAUUUGCCAGUGAAGCCAUCUGUACCCAGGGGUAUUUGUCAGAAAGUUCUAAAACAUACUUAAUAUCAUUAGUAGAAAAGGAAAUAUUUACAUUUGAAAAUUUAUUCUUGUAGGUUUUUUUGGCAAAUUAUGUCUUUUGAGGAAUUUGCCAGUUUUAUAUAUCACAUAUAUCAGAAUGAAGUUGUGCCUUCUAAUUAUGGUUCAAUGCAUUGAAAUAUAGGAAAUGCAAUAAUUUUCCAUUUUCAUAUUUUUUAAUUGCCAAUUUAUAUUGUUAUGUUUUGUUUUCUGCCUCCUUGAUCAUGCUGCUAGAAAGGGGUCAACUUUAGGCUUUUUAUUCCCUAUUAUAGUUGGUUUUCUACCUGGUUGAUUGUUAAUCUUAAUUAUUUCCUUUCUUUUAAUUAUUUAUAUUAAAUUUGCUGUUUUAACUUCUUGUAAAUUGAGAUAGAAGCUAUGGGAAUUAUUUUAUUUUAAAUUUGCUUUUUUUUAAUUGUAUUUGCAAUGACAUAAUUGUACAUAUUUAUGGAGUACAGUGUGAUGUUUCAAUGCAUGUAUACAUUCUAUAAUGAUCAAAUAAAGGCAAUUAGCAGAUUCA